rnacentral:rRNA from 1 species
GUAAAGGGCGCGUAGGCGGGUUUAUAAGUCAAAUGUGAAAUUCCGGAGCUCAACUUCGGAGCUGCAUUUGAAACUGUAAGUCUAUAGAGGGAUGGCGGAGAAAAUGGAAUUCCACGUGUAGCGGUGAAAUGCGUAGAUAUGUGGAAGAACACCAGUGGCGAAAGCGGUUUUCUAGCUAUUACCUGACGCUGAGGCGCGAGAGCAUGGGGAGCAAACAGGAUUAGAUACCCUGGUAGUCCAUGCCGUAAACGUUGUAUACUUGAUGUAGCUGGGCUCAACCCCGGCUGUGUCGAAGCUAACGCGAUAAGUAUACCGCCUGAGGAGUACGCUCGCAAGGGUGAAACUCAAAAGAAUUGACGGGGGCCCGCACAAGCAGUGGAGCAUGUGGUUUAAUUCGAUGCAACGCGAAGAACCUUACCCAGAUUUGAAAUACAGAGGACGAUAGCAGAAAUGUUAUUUCCCGCAAGGGUCUCUGAACAGGUGCUGCAUGGCUGUCGUCAGCUCGUGCCGUGAGGUGUUGGGUUAAGUCCCGCAACGAGCGCAACCCUUAUCAUUAGUUGCCAGCACGUAAUGGUGGGAACUCUAGUGAGACUGCCUGGGUUAACCAGGAGGAAGGUGAGGAUGACGUCAAGUCCGCAUGGCCUUUAUAUCUGGGGCUACACACGUGCUACAAUGGUCGGUACAGAAGGCAGCAAGACCGCAAGGUGGAGCAAAUCCGUAAAACCGAUCUCAGUUCAGAUUGUAGUCUGCAACUCGACUACAUGAAGUUGGAAUUGCUAGUAAUGACGUGUCAGCAAUA